GAUUAAGCUGGGCCGGGUUGAAAAAUAUGUUUCAACUGGGUCGGAUAUCAAUUAAUGGUUUUUUUGUUUGUUCCGUUUUCGGGUUUGGGCUCUGGUCAGGUCAGCAACACAACGCAACAACGCUUUCAAUAGAGUAACCAAUUUUCAACAAUGUAAUUGGCAUUGCUCUAGAUUUUUCACAGUUAUGGAAAUCAAACUAGCAUACGCAAGCCUAUUCAAAUAAGCAUACAAAUCAUCAACAGAUUAACCAAUUUUCAACAAUGCAAUUGCCCUCAAUUUUUUCACAAAAUUAGGGACAUCUUAGAUAUCAUGAACAAGCAUAUCACAUUACCAAGAAAAGUUUAUGAGAAGAAUAUCUUCAACAUAGUAACCAAUUUUCCCUUACCAUUCCACCAAGGCUAGCUAUGUAUGUCAAGUUUGUGGACUUUUUAAGAUGAGAAUAGAGUUCAGUUUCAGGUUAAUGCAUAUUUUCUAGUUCAUGUUUAA
rnacentral:lncRNA from 1 species